ACUGCGCAGGGCCAGGGAUCAAACACGCAACCUCAUGGUUCCUAGUUGGAUUCAUUUCUGCUGCGCCAUAAUGGGAACUCCUGAAAAAUAUUUUCAUUCCAGGGUCAGUUAAAUGCAUGGAUGAGGAAUCUGUGGAUGCACAGGCAUGGCUGCAUAUACAGGGCUUUGCUCAUGAAGUCUUGCAUCCUUUGAGCUUCUUAGGGGAGAAAUAGCACUGGGUCUGCGGUCAGAACAUCCAGGUUCAAGUUCUGAGUCACUCUCUUUCUAAUCACAUGACCUUGAAGAAGGCGUGUAAGUUCUCUGGGCUUCAGCUGUCCGCAUCUGUGAAGAGGAUCAUUGGACCAUCAAGGAGAUACUUUCUAAAACACUGUGCAAGGCAGGCACAGGGACCUCUCACGAUCAAACCCCUCCCUGGAGUGUGGCCCAGCGUCUGGCUUGGCUGUAAGGAACAAACUCUCCAGGUAACGAGAUAA
rnacentral:lncRNA from 1 species